rnacentral:lncRNA from 1 species
CCCGGUCGGCCGUGAUUGGUUAGCCUGGACUGUGGCUCUUGUCCUAAUUGGGUAGCUAACUUUAGGUUUUGGUUACCUGGAGUCGGAACCCCUCCCAGUUAGGAAGUGAAAGCGAGGGUUGCCAACAGGGAAUAUUUGGCUGGGAUACGGAGGGUCCCACCCUUUUCUUGGCCUUGUUGCCACAAGCUACUGCAGUUCAUGCCAUUGUUCCCCUCCCAUGCCAUGACCUCCCUACUGCUGCUGUUUGACUGAAGGUCUGAGAGCUGUUUGGAAGUACCUGAGAGCUGUUUGGAAGCAACUUCUUUUUCCUGCUGGAAGGAGAACAUUUGUGCCAAAGCCCUACCGGUUGCCAGGAAUGAAGUUGGAGUCCUCCAACCUCAAGCUUUGGAAAGGGAUAUCACUAAUAGAAUAAAUUUGAAUCCUGAGAGAGGGAAAGGCUUUUUUUUUUCCCCUGGGGAAUUCAGAUGGAGAAGGUCUGGCUCACAGCUCUUGGAGAAGGCUUGUUAAUGGAAUGGCCAACCCCAUGUGACUAGAGACCUUCUCUUUCUCUGGUCUGCUUUUUGUUAUUUAAUAAAUACUUAUAAAUUAAGAUACA